CCGCCAUGUUUACUUGAGUCGCUUUACCGUAAACCGUCAAAGUGCACUGUCGUGAACGGCAAUAUUACGUUGAAAUAGAGUCUUUCGAGUCGCUUUUGACGUCAAUAUGAAGUCUUUUAAGUCUUUUUGUUGUAUAUAUACUGCACUACCAUUGAACGCGUUAGUCGUGAUCGGACUACCGUGGCAAAAGGUUGCUUACAAUCACAAGCCUAAUAAUAAAUCCUUUCUUGCACUGUAACUUACAAUUUGAGUCUUGCACUUUUAAAAGGUUAGGAAAUAUUUUGUCAGAGUUUUACUUUAUGUAAAACAUAGCUUUAUAAAUUUAUAUUAUAAGGGACUCUAGAGAUUAGAGAUCAUUAGACGUACAAAAAGUUAUAUACUGAAAAGUACAGAAAAGUCAGAAAAUAUAAAAUAUUCCAUAUUUUAUACAGAGACUCACCGACGC
rnacentral:lncRNA from 1 species